AAACUGGGAUUAGAUACCCCACUAUGCUUAGCCCUAAACCUAGAUAUUAGUUUACAAAAAUAUCCGCCAGGGUACUACGAGCACAGCUUAAAACCCAAAGGACUUGGCGGUGCCUCAGAUCCACCUAGAGGAGCCUGUUCUAGAGCCGAUAACCCCCGUUAGACCUUACCAUCCCUUGUUUAUUCCGCCUAUAUACCGCCGUCGUCAGCUUACCCUGUGAAGGAUAAACAGUAAGCAAAAUGGGCAAACCCCAAAACGUCAGGUCGAGGUGUAGCGUACGAGAUGGAAAGAAAUGGGCUACAUUUUCUGAUACAGAAUACUACGAACGGCGCCUUGAAACAAGCGCCCGAAGGCGGAUUUAGCAGUAAAAAGCAAGCAGAGUGUCCUUUUGAAAUUAGGCUCUGAGGCGCGCACACACCGCCCGUCACCCUC
rnacentral:rRNA from 1 species